CUAUUUUGGCAGAAAAGUGCCAUGGAUUUAGAAUUCAUUUAUAUAAGAUUAAUUCUUAUAAGUAGUAC
rnacentral:tRNA from 1 species